rnacentral:lncRNA from 1 species
AACUGAGAUCUUCAUGAAAAAUCACUUGGACCAAACCUGUGGAAUAUUUCCACAUGCAAGGUUGACUUCCAUGUGCGCGCGCGCGCGUGCUUUGCUUGUUUUCUUGUGUUGUUUAGCUUUCUUCUAGACUUGACCGCCCUCUUCAUAAGACUUGUUCACCUCCAAGCCGUCCGUACGACCUGACAGACACCAGAUCAUCAAAUCGACGAGUCGCCAUCAAGCACACUACGUACGGCGUAUGGAGUACUAGUAUAUAGCUAAAAAAAGAAGGGGAAAAAACAAAUCAGUUUUCUCAACGCAUAGGAAUUCCAUGAUCAUUGAGACUGCACGUAGACUAUACACACCGGGUGGCGUAUUUAUUUAUAUGCAGAAUAAGCCGAUAAAAAAAAUAAGAAAUCCACGAGAAGAAUCAACGUCUAUCAUAACUUCUUGGAAAGAGAAACAUCUCUUACUCUCUUAGUGUGGUGGUGGAGUUGUGGAUGCAUGACUUCAUCCAUUAAUUAGGGUUCAAAUUCUGGUGCUUGUGAAAAAGUUUGAAUUAAUUUCAUUACAGUAGUUUGC